CUGAUACGUAUCACUCUCUCUCUCCAUCACUUCCGAAUCUGUCUUCCCAUGUUCUCUCCCAUUUCCAACCCCCCUCCCCAAUUUGAGAAGAAAAAACCCUAGUCUUCACCGUUUGAAUCUGAAUUGAAGACGCCGCCGACGAAGUUGUUAGAUAGCGAACCCGUAGUAUACAUUAUUUCGAGUUGUUGUGUCGAUUGAAUCUUCUGGCGCAUGGUUCUGGGUCGAUCUGACGACCGACGACAACAAGGUACAAAGUGGGCGCGAGUCGAAUUCGAAAACAGUGAAGAGACCACUUGUGUUGGAUUUCUUGUUUUUUUUUUAGUUUGUUGUAGUAUGAUGGAAAUAGAAAACAAUGAAUGGUUUGUAACUUAGUUUUUGAAAAUAAUGAAUGCUUUUAAAAUUGUUAACUUAGUUUUCUGGGAUGUAAAAGAAUUGUGAUGUACAUUCACAUCCAAACAGUGUAAUAUUUAUAUAUCAAAUAAUGUAUGUGGAUGAUCUAACAUUACAUUA